UACGAAGGGUGCAAGCGUUACUCGGAAUUACUGGGCGUAAAGCGUGCGUAGGUGGUUCGUUAAGUCUGAUGUGAAAGCCCGGGGCUCACCCCCGGAAGGGCAUUGGAAACUGGCGGACUCGAGUCCCGGAGAGGAAGGUGGAAUUCCUGGUGUAGCGGUGAAAUGCGUAGAUAUCAGGAAGAACACCCGUGGCGAAGGCGGCUCUCUGGGACGGUACUGACGCUGAGACGCGAAAGCGUGGGGAGCAAACAGG
rnacentral:rRNA from 1 species